rnacentral:lncRNA from 1 species
GCUGAAAUUCUAGAGCAGAAUCCCUGGGGCAGCCCCUGCUGAAGGAGGGUGCAUCUGUUGAAAAUCUCACCGCCGCCCCCACCCCGCCCAGCCUUCAAUUUAGAGGAAUUUCUAGUUCAUGCAGAAUGAAGACAAGAUCACAUAAGUGAGGAUGACGCCCUAUUUACAAGUGUGGUUUGGAAGACUGAAGUGGAAACCUUGGGAAAGGGCCUCAGAGUAUGUCAGCUGGGGUCAGACGGGAACAGGAGGCUGGCUCAACACACAUUUAUUGCACUCCUGCUUCAUGCCAAGAAAUGCACCAAAAUCUGGAAUUGUGUAACACAGCAAAGGAAAAGACUCAUCUCCAGGAAGCCCCCUUGUCUAGGAAGAGAAAUUGAAUAUCAGCAUAAGGUGGUGAAAAGCUGUGAAGGAGAUGAGUGCCACAAGUCCAUGGAGGAAGGAUUCUAGCCUGGACAGGUGAUAGUGGUGAAUAGUCAUGAGAAUCCGGGAACUGGCUCCUGCUCUGUCUAUCUUGGAGAUGCAUCUUUUGUGAGAGGCCAGGGCAAGAAUAGGGAGGCUUAGGCAAUGGGGAGUUUCUGAGUAGAUAAAGCAGAUGGCAGAGCAAAGGGAUAGAGCCUGGAGAGAGGCUACUUCCUGUAGCAACCUGCUUAAGAGUGAGAGGAAAGCAAGGCAUGGCUAUGAGCACGUGUAGUCUCAGCUACUUGGGAAGCUGAGGCUGGGGGAUCACUUGAGCCCAGGAGUUCAAGACCAGCCUAGGCAACAUGGUGAGA